rnacentral:misc_RNA from 1 species
GAUGAAGAACGUAGCGAAAUGCGAUAAGUAGUGUGAAUUGCAGAAUUCCGUGAAUCAUCGAAUCUUUGAACGCACAUUGCGCCUUCUGGUAUUCCGGAAGGCAUGCCUGUUCGAGAGUCAUUAACAACCGUUUCGAUCCCUUUCUUUCAGAAAUUACAAAGAGGAAAAGGGUUUGGUUAUGGUGGAGGAGGGAAAGGGAGCGUUUAGCCUGUAAAAAAAGAGGCUGUGUUCCGCCUCCCCCCCAAAAUUGUACAGGCGGUCGUGUGCGCCCACCCAUCGAGGUGUUGUAAAAGCUGCCACGGCACUUUUCACCUGUGCAGUGCGAGAUUGGCCAGCCGGUUUAAAAACCCCUCCAAACAAUCAAAGGUUGACCUCGGAUCAGGUAGGGAUACCCGCUGAACUUAAGCAUAUCAAUAAGCGGAGGA